UACUCUGAGCAGCAACUUGUGUACAUGAUGCGCAUUGCACACACUGCUCGCAAUGUCUGAACACUACUCUGAUUGCAGGACGAGGCAAGUUCAGAGGAAGCUGCAGGGCCCAGCGGUUCCCGCAGAAAUCUACCAGCGACAACUGCUUUCGUGGUGUCGGGCCCUGCAGCUGUUGCUGGGCCAAGUGGCCUUACACAGCCACCGGCUACGCCCCAGGUGCUGCGGCCUACGCCCCAGGUGCUGCGGCCUACCCCCCAGGUGCUGCGGCCUACCACCCAGGUGCCGCGGCCUACCACCCAGGUGCCGCAGCCAACCCCGCAGGUGCCGCAGCCAACCCCGCAGGUGCCGCAGCCAACCCCGCAGGUGCCGCAGCCAACCCCGCAGGUGCCGCAGCCAACCCCGCAGGUGCCGCAGCCAACCCCGCAGGUGCCGCAGCCAACCCCGCAGGUGCCACAGCCUACCCCCCAGGUGCCGCAGCCUACCCCUCGAGAGCCACGGGCACCCCGUAGACAGCCCAGGCAGCAGGAACUUGAUGGUGCUGUGAUGACGGCUACUGCCGCAUACGUUCGCCAGAGCCAGUUGGAGGAAGCCAGAGUUCAAGAGGACACUCGCUUCCGCCAACAACUGCUGGAACAAAACCGGCAGCACCACGAGGCCCACCUGCAGAGCCUGCGGC